UUAUGUGGUUUUAAUUCGAAGCAACGCGAANGAACCUUACCAGGGCUUGACAUNCCAACCUAACGAAGCAGGAGAUGCAUUAGGUGCCCUUCGGGGAAAGUUGAGACCAGGUGGUGGCAUGGUUGUCGUCAGCUCGUGUCGUGAGAUGUUGGGUUAAGUCCCGCAACGAGCGCAACCCUUAUUGCUAGUUGCUACGCAAGAGCACUCUAGCGAGANUGCCGUUGACAAAACGGAGGAAGGUGGGGAUGACGUCAAAUCAUCAUGCCCCUUAUGUCCUGGGCUACACACGUAAUACAAUGGCGUCCAACAGAGGGAUGCGAAGCCGCGAGGUGGAGCAAAUCCCCAAAAGACGUCUCAGUUCGGAUUGUAGGCUGCAACUCGCCUAUAUGAAGUCGGAAUUGCUAGUAAUCGCGGAUCAGCAUGCCGCGGUGAAUACGUUCCCGGGCCUUGUACACACCGCCCGUCACACCAUGAGAGUCGGGAACACCCGAAGUCCGUAGUCUAACCAGUAAUGGAGGACGCGGCCGAAGGUGGGUUUGAUAAUUGGGGUGAAGUCGUAACAAGGUAGCCGUUCGAGAACGAGCGGCUGGAUCACCUCCUU
rnacentral:rRNA from 1 species